rnacentral:rRNA from 1 species
GAUGAACGCUAGCGACAGGCUUAACACAUGCAAGUCGAGGGGCAGCAUAGAAGUAGCAAUACUUUGGUGGCGACCGGCGCACGGGUGAGUAACGCGUAUGCAACCUACCUAUCAGAGGGGAAUAACCCGGCGAAAGUCGGACUAAUACCGCAUAAAACAGGGACACCGCAUGGUGAUAUUUGUUAAAGAAAUUCGCUGAUAGAUGGGCAUGCGUUCCAUUAGGUAGUUGGUGAGGUAACGGCUCACCAAGCCGACGAUGGAGAGGGGAACUGAGAGGUUGGUACGCCACACUGGUACUGAGACACGGACCAGACUCCUACGGGAGGCAGCAGUGAGGAAUAUUGGGCAAUGGGCAAGAGCCUGAACCAGCCAAGUCGCGUGAAGGACGAAGGAUGUAUGGUUCGUAAACUUCUUUUGCAGGGGAAUAAAGUGCAGGACGUGUCCUGUUUUGUAUGUACCCUGAGAAUAAGGAUCGGCUAACUCCGUGCCAGCAGCCGCGGUAA